UACGUAGGGUGCAAGCGUUAAUCGGAAUUACUGGGCGUAAAGCGUGCGCAGGCGGUUCUAUAAGACAGAUGUGAAAUCCCCGGGCUUAACCUGGGAAUUGCGUUGGAGACUGCAAGGCUGGAGUCUGGCAGAGGGGGGUAGAAUUCCACGUGUAGCAGUGAAAUGCGUAGAGAUGUGGAGGAACACCGAUGGCGAAGGCAGCCCCCUGGGUCAAGACUGACGCUCAUGCACGAAAGCGUGGGGAGCAAACAGG
rnacentral:rRNA from 1 species